AGGACGAACGCUGGCGGCGUGCUUAACACAUGCAAGUCGAGCGGAAAGGCCCUUCGGGGUACUCGAGCGGCGAACGGGUGAGUAACACGUGAGCAACCUGCCCUUAGCUCUGGGAUAGCUCCGGGAAAACCGGAAUUAAUACCGGAUAUGACCUAGGCCGACAUCGGCCGUGGUGGAAAAGUUUUUCGGCUAGGGAUGGACUCGCGGCCUAUCAGCUAGUUGGUGGGUAAUGGCCUACCAAGGCGACGACGGGUA
rnacentral:rRNA from 1 species